rnacentral:rRNA from 1 species
AUGGGGAUUUCGGACUGGUGGGAUUCGCUCACCACCAAUCUGCCCAAGAACGACAGAAGGAGAAGGAGCGGCCGCUUCCUUUACACCAUCUGGAACAUCUGGAAGGAGCGAAACCGAUGCAUCUUCAAUGGAACUCGCCUCACGCACCUAGAGGUGGCAGCUAUUGCCUUCGAAGACAUCAAGCAAAGGUCCCUGGCCUUUGGCCGGGCACAAGUGGCAGCCGGUAUUGGCUGA